ensembl:lncRNA
AAAAAAUACAGUUUUAUGUCUUUAUGUUUGAAGCCUGAAAUGUGGCAAAAGGUUGCAAAGUUCAAGGGGGCCGAAUACUUUCGCAAGGCACUGUAUUUGUUUCAGAUUUAAUUGGAUUUUGUGCUGCUGUUUGGAGAGGUGGCCAACUACAUUCAAGCAAAAGAUCAUCAUGCUAAGCAAGACCCUAAGCAAGGCCACUCAGGGAGCUGAACUUCAGCAGCUGAUCCAGAUAGCAGAAUUUGCAGUUGAUGAGGGAGCUGACACGAAUGCUGAUGGAUCUCUUCUUUGUUUAGGAUGGAACGGUGACCUUUCCUCCAUCCUUCUCCUGCUCCAUUUGAUUAUUCCUUCAUCACAAGGCCGCAAAAGACAAGGCAUGAUGUCUGCAUCCCAAGCUGAACAGCAUCUUGUGAUAUUCCAAAAGGCAGGAACCAGUAUCCAGGAGCACCUUGACGCGAUUGACCAGAGCCGCCAACCAUAUCUUCUUGCAGUCGGGACCAGGAAGAGCAGCUUUCAUGCUUACUUCAUCAUCUUGGUGCCUUCGAAGAGCUUUAAGACUCACUUUGUUUUUGGUACUGCUUAAAUCAAAUCAAAAAAUCAAAUCAAAUUUUAUUUGUCACAUACACAUGGUUAGCAGAUGUUAAUGCGAGUGUAGCGAAAUGCUUGUGCUUCUAGUUCCGACAAUGCAGUAAUAACGAACAAGUAAUCUAACUAACAAUUCCAAAACUACUGUCUUAUACACAGUGUAAGGGGAUAAAGAAUAUGUACAUAAAGAUAUAUGAAUGAGUGAUGGUACAGAGCAGCAUAGGCAAGAUACAGUAGAUGAUAUCGAGUACAGUAUCUACAUAUGAGAUGAGUAUGUAAACAAAGUGGCAUAGUUAAAGUGGCUAGUGAUACAUGUAUUACAUAAGGAUGCAGUCGAUGAUAUAGAGUACAGUGUAUACGUAUGCAUAUGAGAUGAAUAAUGUAGGGUAAGUAACAUUGUAUAAGGUAGCAUUGUUUAAAGUGGCUAGUGAUAUAUUUACAUCAUUUCCCAUCAAUUCCCAUUAUUAAAGUGGC